rnacentral:lncRNA from 1 species
AGCAUUCUUUAUCAACGGCAAUAAGCCCUUUCCCUCCUCUCACUACCAAGCAUCCUCCAAAUAGUGGUCGUGUUGGCAUAUAAAAUGGCCCAAGGCUUGCAACAGUGAAUUUCUGAUGAGGAAACAGAAGCUGGGAUAUGUGAGUAAACAUUUCCAAGGUCCUGCAGCUAAUCAAUGGUUGACAACUUCUUUCCUCUGCCUAUGUUGCCAUCCAUGUCAUGGUUUGUGUCAAGACUCUAGGAGAAGUCUACCAUCAGCACCACAGCUACUGUGCACAAAUCCAGAAUGCCAGACUGAAGUCAGAAGGAAAGGACCUGGCUUUUAAAAAUGGUGAAGGGAAAUGUUCUUAUCACCCAUUCCUGUCAGAGAUGAUGCAGCUCAUUGCUGAUGCUGAGAUCCAACGUCCAGUGCCUGAGUACCCCUGGAUUCUGAGCACUAGGGGCUGGACUGUGGAGACCAUCAGUUCAUAACAUCCUGUCCCUGCUCCCUGCUGUAGAUGACUGAGACCAGGGUUCUUAAACAAGGGAGAAGCACUCUCAUACCCCUAGAACAAGAUGAACAAAAGAAGGAGGAAAAAUCUUGACCUCCGUAAGAUCCAGGAUGGCACGUGCAAGGCACUGACACAGCAUCUGCCGGCAUCACUGACUCUCCUGGACCCCAGAAGCCCAGUUCCCCAGGCUCUGAAACCCUGCAGCAAUGAAAAGGAAGCACAGGCAAACCAUAAGGAAGAUAAUUUUUCUACUAAAAAAUAAAUAGAAAUGCAUCCUUAGAGGCAGGUUUCAUGAGGACACAGAGAAUCCGGUUUUGUGUGUGCCUGAUUUCGUUUUUCUGUCAAAGAGAUACAAAACAAUCAACUGAGUUAUCUUGAACUUACAAAGAUUAAAAAUAAUCAAUUCCUGUUACUAUUUUCAAUUUUUCCCCCAUUUUACUUCUUUAGGUAUGAAGAAAUGUAGCCUAUUAAAACCUGGAUUAAUAAAAACCUUUCAUUAACUUUU